rnacentral:tRNA from 1 species
CUAAGGAUUUUAACGGAACCUACACAGUCGUUCUUUCUUUGUUCAGUUUUGAGAGGUCUAAUCUUCUCAAAUCAAUAAAUACCUUUGAAGUGCCUAAUAUGUUGGGCCUAUAGCUCAGCUGGUUAGAGCGCACGCCUGAUAAGCGUGAGGUCGAUGGUUCGAGUCCAUUUAGGCCCACUCAUUUAAUUGCACAAAAAAGGAAAUUAUUUUAUUGGGGCCUUAGCUCAGCUGGGAGAGCGCCUGCCUUGCACGCAGGAGGUCAGCAGUUCGAUCCCGCUAGGCUCCAUUGCGAAGUUAUUCGCAAUUUUUUGUUCUUUGAAAACUGGAUAUUGUUUAAUUGUAAAAAUUGUAAGAAACCGAGAAACACACCGCGUUUGUAAGAGUUUGAAACGAAUCCUUAUCUUUUAUAAGAUGAGAAGAUUCCUAUUAACAACAACCAUA